rnacentral:rRNA from 2 species
AAAGCGAAGCGCAGGCGGUUUAUGUAAGUCUGCUGUGAAAGCCCUCAGCUCAACUGAGGAAGUGCAGUGGAAACUACAAAACUUGAGUACAGAAGAGGAAAGUGGAACUCCAUGUGUAGCGGUGAAAUGCGUAGAUAUAUGGAAGAACACCAGUGGCGAAGGCGGCUUUCUGGUCUGUUACUGACGCUGAGGCUCGAAAGCAUGGGUAGCGAACAGGAUUAGAUACCCUGGUAGUCCAUGCCGUAAACGAUGAAUACUAGGUGUUGGAGGGUUUCCGCCCUUCAGUGCCGCAGCUAACGCAUUAAGUAUUCCGCCUGGGGAGUACGACCGCAAGGUUGAAACUCAAAGGAAUUGACGGGGGCCCGCACAAGUGGUGGAGCAUGUGGUUUAAUUCCAUGCUACGCGAAGAACCUUACCAGCUCUUGACAUCUUCUGCCAACCCAAUAAAUUGUGCGUUCCCUUCAA